CCUACGGGAGGCUGCAGUGGGGAAUAUUGGACAAUGGGCGAAAGCCUGAUCCAGCCAUGCCGCGUGUGUGAAGAAGGCCUUCGGGUUGUAAAGCACUUUCAGUGGGGAAGAAAGCCUUGGGGCUAAUACCCUCGAGGAAGGACAUCACCCACAGAAGAAGCACCGGCUAACUCCGUGCCAGCAGCCGCGGUAAUACGGAGGGUGCGAGCGUUAAUCGGAAUUACUGGGCGUAAAGCGCGCGUAGGCGGUCUGGUAAGCCGGUUGUGAAAGCCCCGGGCUCAACCUGGGAACGGCAUCCGGAACUGUCAGGCUAGAGUGCAGGAGAGGAAGAUAGAAUUCCCGGUGUAGCGGUGAAAUGCGUAGAGAUCGGGAGGAAUACCAGUGGCGAAGGCGGCCUUCUGGACUGACACUGACGCUGAGGUGCGAAAGCGUGGGUAGCAAACAGGAUUAGAUACCCCAGUAGUC
rnacentral:rRNA from 1 species